rnacentral:tRNA from 1 species
GCGCCCGUAGCACAAUGGAUAAUGCAACAGAUUUCUAAUCUGUGGAUUGCAGGUUCGAGUCCUGCCGGGCGUGCCA